UCUCCUUAUUGAUCACCCAGUUCAGGUUGAUGCAGCAAGAUCGAAAAAUUCUGUGAAGGCAAAGUGGCAUGAUUCGAAAUGUGUUUGCCAUCCAACUGUGUUGCAAUUCAUGGGUGCAGUUGAUAUGUUUUGAGGGUAACUGGCAGUCUUUGUUUUUAACCUGUUGUUUCAAGUUGGAGGAAAGCUGUAUGAGCGAGCUAUUGAAGAAACUGGAUGCAGAACUAAAGUAUGAAGUAACUGGAUGCAGAACUAAAGUAUGAAGUAACUGGAUGCAGAAUAAAGUAUGAAGUAUGACAUUGGGCUGCAUAUUAUUGGUUCCUGAUUCCUGCUUCCCUUCAUUGAACCCAAAACAUAGGAUGCAUCUUGGACAAAAGGCAUUUUUUCACAUUGAAGGGUAUUAUUCAUAAAACAUCUUGUGUUCACACACCACAACAAAAUGGUUUUGUUGAAAGAAUGAAUCAAUACUAGGUUGAAACCACUCAUACCCUACUUCACCAUCAUGUUCCUAUCUGUUUUUCACAAGUUUUAAAAAAAAUGUUACUUGAAUCAAAGGACAUCGAGUUUGAACAGGUUGAGUUAGGUACUACCCAAACAACAUCCAAAUUUAGAUCAUGAUGUUUGCGUCAGUACGGAUUCAUGAGCAACGCAAACCUAUGAACUCCUACACGUGAUGCAUUCCUUUAAUAUUUAAUUGAAAAAUUAACAAGGGUUGUUUCACACACUUUACAAACCUUAAGAAUUGAGAUACAAAUCUUUAAAUAUUAGAGACAAUGAGGUUGUUUCACGCACAUGAUGCAGAGUUGCAAACCUUAAGAGUGUUAAUUUGCAUUUUCUCCUAUAUUUUAUGAACGUGCGUACCGAUCAUGGAAAUUCUUAUAAAAUCAUUAUAAAAAAAUUCUUAUAAAAUCCCUAUCCAUAUUUAUUUAAUAAAUAUUAUGGUGGGAUGUCGAUGGAACCUUGCCAAAUGGUCACCAAAUUCAUCAAUAAAAAAUGGAGUUGAUUAUCUCAGCAGACAUAUAAUAUAAAACUUAUGCAGAACACUGCAUUAUGCAAUAAAGUACAAGUGCAAUUGUAAAACUAUUUGUCCCAUAGAAUGAUAAACAUGAACUUAAGACCAAAGUGAAAAAGGAAUGUAAAACAUAGCCCUUCAAUAUUACACAUUUCAUCUUAGAUAUAGUUUUGCUUAAUUUGAUUCAUAAAUCUCAUCUUUUGUGAGUUUAUUGCAUAAUGGCAUCCUUGAGAUACACUCUGCAGGCUUGAAUAUCUUGUCUUUUUUGUAUUGUUUUUGGUCCUAUAAGAGCUUGAAAGGCAGGUGAAAUUUGGGGCCUCAAAAUCGUGGUCGAUGUAGAAAUCUCAUCUUCAACUCAUUGCACCGUCUGUGUAAGCCAUUUUUAACAGCUGGACAUACAAUCUGUUGAUACUGUUUGAAAUAUGAAAGAGAAUGGAUCCCGAGAUACACUAUUGAUACAGUGUUGGUGACCGGUGAGGAAUCAAAAAAUUAUGCUCCUUUGAAUUUUGCUUUGGGGAAGCUUCCUUUGAAACGUGAAAAAGCAUACAUUACCCCUGAUAUGAAAAAACAAUGGGUUUAUUUUUAUUUGGGAAACAAGUGUUGCCUUCUAGCCUUAUACAAAUUCCAUUAUUUUUUUUCUGAUUGUCCUAUGGAAGUUAAACAAGGUGUACCAUUGUAAAUACAACAGAUUUUCGAUGAAUAAAUGCUGCAGUGGUACCAAAAGUACCUGCAGAAAUAAGUUGAAGUAUU